rnacentral:rRNA from 1 species
UACAGGGGGGGCAAGCGUUGUUCGGAAUUACUGGGCGUAAAGGGCUCGUAGGCGGCCAACUAAGUCACACGUGAAAUCCCCAGGCUUAACCUGGGAACUGCGUGUGAUACUGGAUGGCUUGAAUCCGGGAGAGGGAUGCGGAAUUCCAGGUGUAGCGGUGAAAUGCGUAGAUAUCUGGAGGAACACCGGUGGCGAAGGGCGGCAUCCUGGACCGGGUAAUUGACGCUGGAUGAGCGAAAGCCAGGGGAGCAAACGGG